CCUACGGGGUGCAGCAGUGGGGAAUAUUGGACAAUGGGCGAAAGCCUGAUCCAGCCAUGCCGCGUGUGUGAAGAAGGCCUUCGGGUUGUAAAGCACUUUCAGUGGGGAAGAAAGCCUUGGGGCGAAUACCCUCGAGGAAGGACAUCACCCACAGAAGAAGCACCGGCUAACUCCGUGCCAGCAGCCGCGGUAAUACGGAGGGUGCGAGCGUUAAUCGGAAUUACUGGGCGUAAAGCGCGCGUAGGCGGUCUGAUAAGCCGGUUGUGAAAGCCCCGGGCUCAACCUGGGAACGGCAUCCGGAACUGUCAGGCUAGAGUGCAGGAGAGGAAAGUAGAAUUCCCGGUGUAGCGGUGAAAUGCGUAGAGAUCGGGAGGAAUACCAGUGGCGAAGGCGGCCUUCUGGACUGACACUGACGCUGAGGUGCGAAAGCGUGGGUAGCAAACAGGAUUAGAUACCCCGGUAGUC
rnacentral:rRNA from 1 species